CCUACGGGUGGCAGCAGUGAGGAAUAUUGGUCAAUGGGCGCGAGCCUGAACCAGCCAAGUAGCGUGAAGGAUGACUGCCCUACGGGUUGUAAACUUCUUUUAUCAGGGAAUAAAGUGAGCCACGUGUGCCUUUUUGUAUGUACUUUAUGAAUAAGGAUCGGCUAAAUCCGUGCCAGCAGCCGCGGUAAUACGGAGGAUUCGAGCGUUAUCCGGAUUUAUUGGGUUUAAAGGGAGCGUAGGUGGGUUGUUAAGUCAGUUGUGAAAGUUUGCGGCUCAAACGUAAAAUUGCAGUUGAUACUGGCGGUCUUGAGUAUGGGAGAGGUAGGCGGAAUGCGUGGUGUAGCGGUGAAAUGCAUAGAUAUCACGAAGAACUCCGAUUGCGAAGGCAGCUUACUAGACUGCCACUGACAUUGAGGCACGAAAGUGUGGGUAUCAAACAGGAUUAGAUACCCGUGUAGUC
rnacentral:rRNA from 1 species